UAAGAUUGGCUUCCAUGUUUCUUAUAUUUCUCUCUAUUUUUGCAUGUUUUUCAGCCUUGGUAUCUAACUAUCCUACUCUCAAGUCUCAACUUCUGCUACUGUUAACACCUUUUUAACAGUAUAUGAUUAUUUGUAACCUAACAACUAUUCAAUUGAUCAAGUAUAUAAGCCAUGUUAUUAUAAGUUCUUUUCAUUCUAAACCCAUUUUCUUUUACUCACGAUUUAUCAAAAAAAAAAAAGAAAAAACCUUUCAUUCACUAUCUACUUGUUAUUGCCUUAACGUAGUCUCGUGUUCCACCAUGGCUAAAGAUGAACAAAGCUCAUAACUAAGAAGGGUCACCAAAUGAGCUUUGUAUCCAACAAAAAAACAACCAGCACCUCCCCAAAAUCUCACCACAAUUCAAUUUCCUAGAGUGACAAACCCCUCAAAGUGUCUUCUCAACAAUUUCAUCUCCUCUUACCUACAAUAUGAAAAGCAGUACCUAUACAAUUCAAGGUUUCAAAAAACAGUUUGUUACCGCCAAAACGACCACUACAAAACAGUAUUGGAAGGUGCUGAUACCGAUAUCGUUAUUCAUCGAUUUUAUAAUAAAGAACAAAUUUUGGUUAAUUCAUAUUAGGACAAUCGCAAUCAAUGUCACAACACAGACAUCGCAAAGUAGUACCUAUACAAUUCUAAACCCUUGAUACAAAUUUUAGAACCAUGAUAUAAAGUAGUACCAUAUUAGAACAAAUUUUGGUUAAUUCAUAAAACCUUGAUACAAUCCUAAUUCAAAAUACAUAGUUUACAUACAAAGUAGUACCUAUACAAUUCAAUCCUAAUUUAUAGAAGAAUAACUUUUUAUGACAAUAAAAUAAUAGUUAAAUUGUUUAAGUAAAAUUGGGAUUUGAGGGAGAGUAAAAUAAGUGUUCAUCAUAAAAACAGAAAAUUUGAAUUCAUAUACAGUUGAAUGAUUAAGGAGUUGAAACUAAUUAGAUACCUAAAUUUCACUAAAAAGAGUUAAAUUCAGAUUUGGGGAUGAAAUCUAGGUAGUUAUGCGGAAGGGGCGGCCCUUGGCCGCUCCAGUGAUGCCAGGUGCGCAAUACUGUUGCGGCUGCCUCGGAUGCAUUUCACGAGAACAACACGGCGGCGCAUGUAGCUGCCGUCGUGGAGUUUCGCGGCCGCUACAAUGAAGAUUUUUUGAAAAAGUAAAACAAAAUUAUGAAGAAGAAACAUGCCUGUGGAAUCCCAGUAGAAAGAAAAAGGAUGGCGAAGAAGAAAUGGAAGAUCACAAUGGAACCAGUGGCGUGCUUGAAUUGCAAUGGCGGUUGCUAGGUUUAACGAAGAGUAGUAACUCAAACUUUGCAAUGAAUUACAAUGACAGCUUCCACCAAUUAAAAAAUGACACGUGUAUUUCAAAUCAUUUAG
rnacentral:lncRNA from 1 species